rnacentral:rRNA from 1 species
CCGACUCCAUGAAGCUGGAUUCGCUAGUAAUCGCGCAUCAGCCGCGGCGCGGUGAAUACGUUCCCGGGCCUUGUACACACCGCCCGUCAAGCCAUGGAAGCCGGGAGUGCCUGAAGUGCGUGAGCGCAAGCAGCGCCCUAAGGUAAAACCGGUGACUGGGGCUAAGUCGUAACAAGGUACC